rnacentral:rRNA from 1 species
GGGCAUCGGGAGGGAAGCUUGCUUUCCUUGCCGGCGACCGGCGCACGGGUGAGUAACACGUAUGCAACCUGCCCUCUUCAGGGGGACAACCUUCCGAAAGGGAGGCUAAUCCCGCGUAUAUCGGUUUCGGGCAUCCGAGAUCGAGGAAAGAUUCAUCGGAAGAGGAUGGGCAUGCGGCGCAUUAGCUAGACGGCGGGGUAACGGCCCACCGUGGCGACGAUGCGUAGGGGUUCUGAGAGGAAGGUCCCCCACACUGGUACUGAGACACGGACCAGACUCCUACGGGAGGCAGCAGUGAGGAAUAUUGGUCAAUGGGAGAGAUCCUGAACCAGCCAAGCCGCGUGAGGGAAGACGGCCCUAUGGGUUGUAAACCUCUUUUGUCGGAGAACAAAACCCGGGACGUGUCCCGGACUGCGUGUAUCCGAAGAAAAAGCAUCGGCUAACUCCGUGCCAGCAGCCGCGGUAAUACGGAGGAUGCGAGCGUUAUCCGGAUUUAUUGGGUUUAAAGGGUGCGUAGGCGGUCCGUUAAGUCAGCGGUAAAAUUGCGGGGCUCAACCCCGUCGAGCCGUUGAAACUGGCAGACUUGAGUUGGCGAGAAGUACGCGGAAUGCGCGGUGUAGCGGUGAAAUGCAUAGAUAUCGCGCAGAACUCCGUUUGCGAAGGCAGCGUACCGGCGCCAGAACUGACGCUGAGGCACGAAAGCGUGGGGAUCGAACAGGAUUAGAUACCCUGGUAGUCCACGCAGUAAACGAUGAAUGCUGGUUGUCCGGGUCGAAUGAGACCUGGGCGGCGAAGCGAAAGCGAUAAGCAUUCCACCUGGGGAGUACGCCGGCAACGGUGAAACUCAAAGGAAUUGACGGGGGCCCGCAUAAGCGGAGGAACAUGUGGUUUAAUUCGAUGAUACGCGAGGAACCUUACCCGGGCUCAAACGGGAGUGGAAUGAACCAGAGACGGUUCAGCCUACGGGCCGCUUCCGAGGUGCUGCAUGGUUGUCGUCAGCUCGUGCCGUGAGGUGUCGGCUUAAGUGCCAUAACGAGCGCAACCCCCGCCGGCAGUUGCUAACGGGCAAUGCCGAGGACUCUGCCGGGACUGCCGCCGCAAGGCGUGAGGAAGGCGGGGAUGACGUCAAAUCAGCACGGCCCUUACGUCCGGGGCUACACACGUGUUACAAUGGGCGGUACAGCGGGAAGCCAGGCGGCGACGCCGAGCGGAACCCGAAAGCCGUUCUCAGUUCGGAUCGGAGUCUGCAACCCGACUCCGUGAAGCUGGAUUCGCUAGUAAUCGCGCAUC